rnacentral:rRNA from 1 species
AACGAACGCUGGCGGCAGGCCUAACACAUGCAAGUCGAACGCCCUAGCAAUAGGGAGUGGCAGACGGGUGAGUAACACGUGGGAACCUUCCCUAUAGUACGGAAUAGCCCAGGGAAACUUGGAGUAAUACCGUAUACGCCCGAGAGGGGAAAGAUUUAUCGCUAUAGGAUGGGCCCGCGUCGUAUUAGCUAGUUGGUGAGGUAAUGGCUCACCAAGGCAACGAUCCGUAGCUGGUUUGAGAGAAUGGCCAGCCACACUGGGACUGAGACACGGCCCAGACUCCUACGGGAGGCAGCAGUGGGGAAUCUUGGACAAUGGGCGCAAGCCUGAUCCAGCCAUGCCGCGUGAGUGAUGAAGGCCUUAGGGUUGUAAAGCUCUUUUGGCGGGGACGAUAAUGACGGUACCCGCAGAAUAAGUCCCGGCUAACUUCGUGCCAGCCGCCGCCGUAA